rnacentral:rRNA from 1 species
UACGGAGGGAGCUAGCGUUAUUCGGAAUUACUGGGCGUAAAGCGCACGUAGGCGGCUUUGUAAGUUAGAGGUGAAAGCCUGGAGCUCAACUCCAGAAUUGCCUUUAAGACUGCAUCGCUUGAAUCCAGGAGAGGUGAGUGGAAUUCCGAGUGUAGAGGUGAAAUUCGUAGAUAUUCGGAGGAACACCAGUGGCGAAGGCGGCUCACUGGACUGGUAUUGACGCUGAGGUGCGAAAGCGUGGGUAGCAAACAGG